GACGAACGCUGGCGGCGUGCUUAACACAUGCAAGUCGAACGGUGACGAGGAGCUUGCUCCUCUGAUCAGUGGCGAACGGGUGAGUAACACGUGAGCAACCUGCCCCAGACUCUGGGAUAACAGUUGGAAACAGCUGCUAAUACCGGAUACGAGACGGAGAGGCAUCUCUACCGUCUGGAAAGUUUUUCGGUCUGGGAUGGACUCGCGGCCUAUCAGCUAGUUGGUGAGGUAAUGGCUCACCAAGGCGACGACGGGUAGCCGGCCUGAGAGGGCGACCGGCCACACUGGGACUGAGACACGGCCCAGACUCCUACGGGAGGCAGCAGUGGGGAAUAUUGCACAAUGGGCGAAAGCCUGAUGCAGCGACGCCGCGUGAGGGAUGACGGCCUUCGGUGGUAACCUACUUUCAGUCAGGAGAAGACGAAGUAGACGGUACUGCAGAAGAAGCACCGGCUAACUAACGUGCCAGCACGCGCGUAAAGU
rnacentral:rRNA from 1 species